rnacentral:rRNA from 1 species
CUUAAAUGAAUUGAGGUCCCCGCACAAGCAGCGGAGCGUGUGGUUUAAUUCGAUGCUACACGAAGAACCUUACCUGGGUUUGACAUAGAGGUAGUAGGGAAGCGAAAGCGGACCGACCCUUCGGGGAGCCUCUACAGGUGUUGCAUGGCUGUCGUCAGCUCGUGUCGUGAGAUGUUCGGUUAAGUCCGCUAACGAGCGCAACCCUCGCUGUGUGUUACAAGCGUCACACGGUACUGCCGAUAUUAAGUCGGAGGAAGGUGGGGAUGACGUCAAGUCAGCAUGACCUUUAUAUCCAGGGCUACACACACGCUACAAUGGCCAGUACAAUGGGUUGCCAAGCCGCGAGGCGGAGCCAAUCCUAAAAAGCUGGCCUCAGUUCAGAUUGCAGUCUGCAACUCGACUGCAUGAAGUUGGAGUUGCUAGUAACCGCAGGUCAGCAAUACUGCGGUGAAUACGUUCCCGGGGAUU